GUGCUUGCUUCAGCACAUAUACUAAAAUUAGAGCUAUACAGACAAGAGUAACAUGGCUCCUGCACUAGUCGUCAUGAAAAUUCAUGAAGCAUUCCGUAUUUUU
ensembl:snRNA U6 U6 spliceosomal RNA